UGCAGUCUUAACUUUGUAACUUGACUUUAUCCUCGCUCCUCUGUUCUUCCUCAUUUUUGAAACUGAAAGUAAAAGGACAAGUUGCCACUCCCGAGGGUUGGGACACCAGUCGCUCCAACAGCACUUUGCCUCCUUACACUCCUUACACAGGAGCCAUCCAACUGCUGCUGGCCUGAUCUUUUUCCUCUAAAGCAGAUGGCUGCUGUGUGCUGGAUGGUUGUGGCGCUGGCCUUCUUCCUGUCUGCAGGGACUGGUGUGGAUGUCGUGGACCAGUACCAGCUUCAGACGAUUUUAGCAGACUUGUUGGGAAGGAACAGAAUAGGUGGCCAGUUCAGUCUGACUGUAAACAUCGCACUGAACCAUACUCAGCACCUUCAAACUGCCCUGAAGCAAGUCUUGGAUGCUGACCCUUGGUCCGACGUCCACCUUGAGAUGCUUGAGUGUACACCGGUACCUGGGUGGUAGCCGCCGGAGCAGACAAAAUAAACAACCGUCAUGCAGAGCUGCGCGUUCUGGACAGUUUCCAAAGCUUGCAUAAUAAAUGUGAACGUAAACUUCUGCUCUUCUACUCUUACCUCUCCCCAUGUGAUCAGAAAUGUACAAACGAACGGCAUCGUGAUACAAUCAUUUCAAGGAUUAACGUCACUCAGAAUUGGCAUGAUUAUGCCUUUGUGUUUUCCAAAAUAUUCAAGCCCAAAGGUUCUAAUCCCAUUAGUGAGGAAAACCUGAAGGGAUCCCUUGAACGACUCGGGAAAUCCAAAAACAUUGGGGGGUCAGAAAUUGGCCUUGCCAGUAUAUUCCGUUGUGAUAAAAACGAUAAUGUGAUGACGUGUAACAGCUGCUCCACCAGUAGACAAGUGACUCACCAGUGUAUUGCAGACACUUCACGACCUGGUCCCAGUGGUGGUUUUAGUGGUGGUUCUGGUCGGGGCAGUGGGCAAGGGGGGGCUCAGAGUCAGAACCAGAGGCAGAGGCAGGGGCCGGGGCUCAGUACCAGCCUAGGGCAGAGGCAGGGGCGAGGUCGGUAUCAGGGCUAGGGUCAGUGCCAUGGGCUCUGUAGGAAGGGGAAUGAAUAUUUUGUAGGUAGGUUUUAUGCUUCCUUUCAUGUGUUGAUGCCCCUUAGAACUGCAAAAUUACACAGCCACAAGAGUACAGUCACUUACUGUUUGUUAUCAUUGGGCCAAAUUAUAGUAGUGAACUGCACUGUGUCACCUUGCUUUAUGUAUUUUGCCCAUGGAGGUUUACAGUGACCAUGUUUUAGAGUUAUUGCUGGUAGUAAAACAAUGAGGAAUACCAUUUAAUCCUUGCAGCAUUAGUACCUUGCACUUGAAUAUGUUUGACUGAAAAAACUUUACCAAAUUCUUUAAUAUUCUGUUAUAUUUAAUUAAAUCUUGGCUCAGCAUCCAAACUGGUCUGUCUGUCUGUUUAUCAUCUGGAAACCCCUGGAUAACAGUCUGUUCUACUACUUAUUAUCUUUGAUUAUGAAUGGUAAAAACAAUAGAAAAUACUGCCUAACCCUAUAAGAAGCUCUGUGCAGGAAACACUGCAGAAAGCUUAUAUGCCUCCAUGCCUCCUUGAUGUUGCAAUCUUUCAAGCUGUCUCUCCUUCUAGUAGUAAUCUUUGAGGAAGGAAACUGAGGAGGAGCCUUUUCAGGAAGGAUUUUUUUUUUUUUUUUUGAAUGCCACAGCCAGCUCUUAUCAGUAGACACAAUAUCAGUACACAAGUCAAUUGAUCACCAGCUGUCAUGUAUUAAACCAUUCGAUUAGGGCAAGAUUCUUUGCUUGCAAUAAUAAAAUUGCAUAUUGGAUUUUUUCUGUACAUUAAAAAUGUUGACUUUUAU